rnacentral:tRNA from 1 species
CUAGCUCAGUCGGUAGAGCACGAGACUCUUAUCUCGGGGUCGUGGGUUCGGGCCCCACGUUGGGCG